AACAUUUCAGAUAGAGGGAAAAGUAUGUUCAGAAGGGAAAGAGGGGAAUUCCCUAGCCGUCCAGCGGUUAAGACUCCACGCUUCCACUGCAGGGGACGCGGGUGAGAUCCCUGGUUGGGGAAUUAAGAUCCUGCAUGCCACAUGGCACGGUGCCGCCAAACAAACAAAAAACAGAAGGGAAAGAGCCUGGAGGCUGAGUCAGCAGAGUACACCAACCAGAUCCCUCUGCCAACUCGCUUCUGCUGCUUCUGGGGAGGUGCUGCCGAGGGGAAGCGCUGCAAAAGAAAACAGGAAUAUAUGUGGAAGGAGAGAAAGAAGACAGAAUCAGGAUGAUACCUAGAAUUCCGGUUUGGGCCCAGGGUGGAGCCAGUCACUGCUGAGAUGGAGACCACAGACAGAUGAAGAGUUUGGGGGUCGGGAUGGGGGAGUAAAUGAUCUAUCAUAAACUAGAAAAUAUAUAUUUUUGGAAAUUCAUUAAAAUUUUUUCUAGAUCCU